rnacentral:rRNA from 1 species
GACGAACGCUGGCGGCGUGCUUAACACAUGCAAGUCGAGGGGGCCCGCAAGGGUCACCGGCGAACGGGUGCGUGACACGUGAGCAACCUGCCACGGAGUGGGGGAUAGCCGGCCCAACGGCCGGGUAAUACCGCAUACGAUCCUUCGGGGGAGGCCCUGGGGGAGGCAAGAUUUACUGCCCUGUGGGGGGCUCGCGGCCUAUCAGCUAGUUGGUGGGGUAAUGGCCCACCAAGGCGACGACGGGUAGCUGGUCUGAGAGGAUGGCCAGCCACAUUGGGACUGCGACACGGCCCAGACUCCUACGGGAGGCAGCAGUGGGGAAUCUUGCGCAAUGGGCGAAAGCCUGACGCAGCGACGCCGCGUGGGGGAGGAAGGUUUUCGGAUCGUAAACCCCUGUUGCCCGGGACGAAUCCGGCAUUUUGAUGCCGUUGACGGUACCGGGUGAGGAAGCACCGGCUAACUCCGUGCCAGCAGCCGCAGUAACAC